GAUGAACGCUAGCUACAGGCUUAACACAUGCAAGUCGAGGGGCAGCAUGAACUUAGCUUGCUAAGUUUGAUGGCGACCGGCGCACGGGUGAGUAACACGUAUCCAACCUGCCGAUGACUCGGGGAUAGCCUUUCGAAAGAAAGAUUAAUACCCGAUGGCAUAGUUCUUCCGCAUGGUAGAACUAUUAAAGAAUUUCGGUCAUCGAUGGGGAUGCGUUCCAUUAGGUUGUUGGCGGGGUAACGGCCCACCAAGCCUUCGAUGGAUAGGGGUUCUGAGAGGAAGGUCCCCCACAUUGGAACUGAGACACGGUCCAAACUCCUACGGGAGGCAGCAGUGAGGAAUAUUGGUCAAUGGACGAGAGUCUGAACCAGCCAAGUAGCGUGCAGGAUGACGGCCCUAUGGGUUGUAAACUGCUUUAUAAGGGAAUAAAGUGAGUCUCGUGAGGCUUUUUGCAUGUACCUUAUGAAUAAGGACGGCUAAUUCCGUG
rnacentral:rRNA from 1 species